UAGGGAAUCUUCGGCAAUGGGGGCAACCCUGACCGAGCAACGCCGCGUGAGUGAAGAAGGUCUUCGGAUCGUAAAGCUCUGUUGUAAGAGAAGAACGUGUGUGAGAGUGGAAAGUUCACACAGUGACGGUAACUUACCAGAAAGGGACGGCUAACUACGUGCCAGCAGCCGCGGUAAUACGUAGGUCCCGAGCGUUGUCCGGAUUUAUUGGGCGUAAAGCGAGCGCAGGCGGUUUAAUAAGUCUGAAGUUAAAGGCAGUGGCUUAACCAUUGUUCGCUUCGGAAACUGUUAAACUUGAGUGCAGAAGGGGAGAGUGGAAUUCCAUGUGUAGCGGUGAAAUGCGUAGAUAUAUGGAGGAACACCGGUGGCGAAGGCGGCUCUCUGGUCUGUAACUGACGCUGAGGCUCGAAAGCGUGGGGAGCAAACAGG
rnacentral:rRNA from 1 species